rnacentral:tRNA from 1 species
GCUGGAGUGGCGGAAUGGUAGACGCACAAGGUUGAGGGCCUUGGUGACAUAGUCAGUGAGAGUUCAAGUCUCUUCUCCAGCACCA